GGAGACGUCGCAUAGUGGCCGAGUGCGCUCGCUUGGAAAGCGAGUAAGGCGCAAGCCUUCGAGAGUUCGAAUCUCUCCGUCUCCG
rnacentral:tRNA from 2 species